rnacentral:rRNA from 1 species
AUUGAACGCUGGCGGCAGGCCUAACACAUGCAAGUCGAGCGGAUGAAGGGAGCUUGCUCCUGGAUUCAGCGGCGGACGGGUGAGUAAUGCCUAGGAAUCUGCCUGGUAGUGGGGGAUAACGUCCGGAAACGGGCGCUAAUACCGCAUACGUCCUGAGGGAGAAAGUGGGGGAUCUUCGGACCUCACGCUAUCAGAUGAGCCUAGGUCGGAUUAGCUAGUUGGUGGGGUAAAGGCCUACCAAGGCGACGAUCCGUAACUGGUCUGAGAGGAUGAUCAGUCACACUGGAACUGAGACACGGUCCAGACUCCUACGGGAGGCAGCAGUGGGGAAUAUUGGACAAUGGGCGAGAGCCUGAUCCAGCCAUGCCGCGUGUGUGAAGAAGGUCUUCGGAUUGUAAAGCACUUUAAGUUGGGAGGAAGGGCAGUAAGUUAAUACCUUGCUGUUUUGACGUUACCAACAGAAUAAGCACCGGCUAACUUCGUGCCAGCAGCCGCGGUAAUACGAAGGGUGCAAGCGUUAAUCGGAAUUACUGGGCGUAAAGCGCGCGUAGGUGGUUCAGCAAGUUGGAUGUGAAAUCCCCGGGCUCAACCUGGGAACUGCAUCCAAAACUACUGAGCUAGAGUACGGUAGAGGGUGGUGGAAUUUCCUGUGUAGCGGUGAAAUGCGUAGAUAUAGGAAGGAACACCAGUGGCGAAGGCGACCACCUGGACUGAUACUGACACUGAGGUGCGAAAGCGUGGGGAGCAAACAGGAUUAGAUACCCUGGUAGUCCACGCCGUAAACGAUGUCGACUAGCCGUUGGGAUCCUUGAGAUCUUAGUGGCGCAGCUAACGCGAUAAGUCGACCGCCUGGGGAGUACGGCCGCAAGGUUA